AAUUUGCUAGAGAUAGCUUAGUGCCUUCGGGAACUCUGAGACAGGUGCUGCAUGGCUGUCGUCAGCUCGUGUUGUGAAAUGUUGGGUUAAGUCCCGCAACGAGCGCAACCCUUAUCCUUUGUUGCCAGCGAGUAAUGUCGGGAACUCAAAGGAGACUGCCGGUGAUAAACCGGAGGAAGGUGGGGAUGACGUCAAGUCAUCAUGGCCCUUACGAGUAGGGCUACACACGUGCUACAAUGGCAUAUACAAAGAGAAGCGAACUCGCGAGAGCAAGCGGACCUCAUAAAGUAUGUCGUAGUCCGGAUUGGAGUCUGCAACUCGACUCCAUGAAGUCGGAAUCGCUAGUAAUCGUAGAUCAGAAUGCUACGGUGAAUACGUUCCCGGGCCUU
rnacentral:rRNA from 1 species